rnacentral:pre_miRNA from 1 species
AGUAGGAUUGUUAGGUCAUAUGGUAAGAAUAUGUUUAACUUUAUAAGAAACUGCUAAACUGUUUUCCAAAUUGGCUGUACCAUUUUAUGUUCCUACCAGCAAU